CUGGUCCACACCUGCUUUCCCUGCAUGCACAAAAGUGCUGAGAAGGGGUUUUCUGCAGGGAUCUGCAUGCUGGGGGGUGUCACAGUACAGCCCCUGUGUCACUGUAGGACAUGAAACAACACGAGCACACACACUGCUGCUCUCAAGGUGAAGAAAAAGGGGAGUUUGUUUUCUGACUCCAACAUUUAUAGAUUUCCAAAAGUGGCAGUGGAUUGGAGGGUGACAGUGCCACCUCUCCAAUGACACUGGGCAAACCAAGACUCCAUCAACUUUCUCCUCCUCUAUAAAGGAAUGCAAAACAAUGAGUUAUUUACAGAAAGUGUGGAGAAAGUUCACUACAAGUAUGUCAACAUCAGAAGGCUCAGAAAAUCUUAAAAAACCAGGGUGACACCCCUGUGCUGUGGCUACCAUAGAUUUACUGUCCUGAGCCUCAAGCCAGGCUUGCUUGGGGUGCAGCCUCUGGAAGCCAUGCAGGGCAGAAAGCACUGACAGAAAAGCACCAGAAGCACAGGCCUGGUAGGUAAUAAAUCCCUGCCAGCAGAUCCCUGGUGAGGACAUGCAAGCAAAGCCUUUGCAGCACAGCCACCUGCUCCACAGCAGAGCCAGCACAGCACUGUGCUGAGACAGAAACAUCAUCCUGUGCACCUGUCCCAGGGCAGGAAGGUGACCACACAGGAAUCAACAUUUACCAUCACAAUACUGCAAAGAAAACAUCGCCUGGGGCACCUCCCUUCUCCCAGUAAAGCAGUGGUGAGGAGGACAAGGCAAAUACAGCACAGAGGGACCUGGUUUCCAUGCCAGGCACUGCCACUGGCUCCAAGGAUGGUCUUAGGAAGCCCUGACCAUGCCCAGGUACUCACCCUCAGGCAAUGCAUGCAUGUCAUCACUGCAGGAGAAGGUCAGCUCACCCUGGACAGCCAGUCUGCAGCUCUCAUCAACCCACCAGUGCUCAGUGCUGCAGCCAAAACCAAGCAUGAGCGGGCUGGAAGAGGUUUAUCAGCAGCUGGACUCGCACCCUAUCACCACUCACACACCUGACUGCACGGCAGCACAACAAGGAAGCUCCUGUCUGGAGUCUGGAGAUUAUGGCUCAUCCUACGUCAGGACCUGGGGAGAGCUGCCAGGCUGGGCAGUGUUUAGUGAGAGUCAUGCCUGAGCCAGACUUCAUAAACACGUCUGAGGAGCCCAUGUGCAUGAACUCUGCUCCUCAGAUCGUUCCAGGGAAGAUGAAACUUCAGCAAUAGGAAGCAAAAUGAAAGCUCUGUGGCCAGAGCCGCGCUGUCUCUCGGUCUGUGCUGGGCUGGAGACAGCGGGCAGGAGACCUGAGGUUUCUCACAGGUCCCUGCAGAGCUUGGCUGGGCACAGUCCCACAUGGAGGACACCGAGAUGGAACUGAAGUGGCAGAUGAGGUCUGGUGACAGCAGCUCCAGGCUCUCUGCAGGGCCUAGGGCCCACUGCAACACAAUGAACGCGCCCCUUCCCCCCUUCUACCUGCACAGCAGACUCCUGCUCCAGCAUCCCUUCAGGAGAUCCUUGCUUGCAGCAAGAAGGCAAGGGGUCCACAGUGGUUGGUGCAUGCCCUCUCUGAAAGACACGCAAGGGAGUCACACCAGUUGUCCAGAGGAUCAGAGCUCCUGGAGAUCACUCCCGUCCCACCCUUUCCUUGUGCUCCAGCCUGGGGUGACCCUGCAGGGCAGCCAUGGCCUGCCUGCCAGGGCUCACCCCUCUUGCUUUGCUCCAGAUGCUCCAUCUUGGCUCCAGGUGCUAAAUUUGGGCCAGCCUGGCAAAGGACUGCAGGGGAGCCACACAGCUUGGGUUCUAUUUCCAGCUACCGUUCACCUUUUGCCACUUACAGGCUCAAGAAGGCCAAGGUGGGUCACUGAAAAAUCCCUUUGCCCAGGAUUUCUUCUCCUGGGAAACUGAGGAGCCUCAGAGGAAAAUGAAAACAAUAAUUAUCUCAUUUGCUUCUCCUGUGUUUUGCUGCUUUGGAAUGUGGUUUGGAGAUUGUUCAUCCAACAUGUGAAUUGUUUAAGAGAAAAAUGAAAACAAUAUUAUCUGAUUUGCUUCUCCUGUGUUUUGCUGCUUUGGAAUGUGGUUUGGAGAUUGUUCAUCCAACAUGUGAAUUGUUUAAGAGAAAAAUGAAAACAGUAUUAUCUGAUUUGCUUCUCCUUUGUUUUGCUGCUUUGGAAUGUGGUCUGGAGAUUGUUUAUCCAACAUGUGAGUUGUUUAAUUUAAUUUAAGUUAAUUGUUUAACUUAAUGAUCAAUCACAGUCAGGCUCUGUCAGGACUCUGGAGAGAAUCACGAGUUUUCAUUAUUGUGUAGCCUUUUUCAUUAUUCUUUGUAGCCUUUUGUCUGUAUCCUUCUUCUAUUCUUUUGUAUAGUUCAGUAUAGCAUAAUAUAAUAUAAUGUAAUAUAAUAUAAUAUAAUAUAAUAUAAUAUAAUAUAAUAUAAUAAUAAAUUAGCCAUCUAAGGACAUGGAAUCAGAUUCAUCAAUUCCUUCCUUUGUCCUGGGGACCCCAAAAAUACCACACAAAGUGUUUCCAGCCAGGCCCUGGGGCCAAACCAGUGAAUGCACAGCCAUGAGAUGAUCACACCUGGAAAGGCCUGGGGAGUGUAGGGAUAAAUACAGCUUUAGAAUCUGCAGCUUGGAGAAAGAAACAACUGCUCUGCCAGAGCUGUUAUCUCUCUAGGGAAUUCCUAUAAAACAGCCCAGCCCACCACCAGAAAAGCUUAUAAAAACUGAGAGACAGGAAAAGGAGAUCAAUAGACCAUGUCAGGAUGGCAAAAUGCUUUGCAUUACAUAGAAAUUGAGAUUUUUGUACUGAGCAAAGACCAAUUUUAGCAUUACACAAAGCAGAGUCCUUACCUCAGUCUAGGGAAAACAGCUUCCCUUUGUCCAGAGUCAUUCAGCACUCCAUUGACAGUCUAGAUUCCCUCUAAUAUUUGAAAUAGAACAGCCUCCACCUUCAGUUCAGGUAGAGCUCAAAUGUUUGUUGCCAAAAGGACGGGCACUGCCACUGCUGCCUGCCUGGCACUCUGCAUUGGCCCUAAAAGUGCUGCUGCUCUGAACCUACAGAGCCAGUGUCUACAGUGCCUCACAAAAGCUAACACAGAGCUCAACUGGGGCUCUGCAAAGGGACAUCAUUCACACUAGAAAAAACAGGAAUAUUGUCUAAAAAAGAGCAAAUUCACAUAGAGAAGAAGCGACCAAGUAUUCCAGUGAAAAUACCAAACAACAACCUCUGGGCACCCCAGAGGGCUUUAGGGAUUUUUUUGCAAGCCAGGGUUCCAGUAUUCUCUUAGGUGCUGUUCCUUGGAUGCUAUAAUACUUAUCAUAGCCACAUGAAAAUUAAUUUCUCCCUCUGCUGUGCUGAGCCAGCUCCUGGGACCAGGCUCAGCAUCCCCAGCGCCUCAGCGCUGCUGCAUUCCAGGUUCACACCUAAGAUGAAAACAUUGAACUCCAGCAGCAACUGCAGACAGAGCCAGGGAUACACAGUUCUGCCUCUGACCUUUGGAGAAACUCCUCAGCUGUGUGAUGAUGUAGCUGUGAAGGAAUGCAAGGCUCCUUCCUGGGUUUUGGUAUCUGCCAUGUAACCAGAGAAGUGGCUGCCCAGAACCAGCCAGGCUGUCCUCAGCUGUUCUUCCUCUCAUUUAAAGGGAAUGAGGGGUGGAAUGUGUGCAGCAGAGAACCUUGGGCACAUCGCCUUGGAGAAAAGUAAAUAACGUGUAAAAAUGGGCUUGAAAAAGAAGCUGCAUGUGCCUUUGCCCAGGGAAGGAAGCACAGCGCCUCCUGAACUCAGCCACUUGAGAAAUGAGAAAUGAGAAAUAAGAAAUGAGGCCAGGCUGCAGCUACUGAAGGGAGCUGCUCCCUCCUGAGCUCUUGCACACUCUCCUGGUGCAAGGACAUGGAUACACACAGGUUCACCUUACUCCAGCUCGUCCCCUCUCUCCUUAGAGAGGAAAACACUCCCUGUGCCCCUGCAGAGGCUCCCAGGAGCAGCCAGGCUCCCAGGUUCCAGUCAGCAAGCUAUUAUCUCAGGAAACAUCAAUGUGGCUUUAAAGCUGAGUCAACAACAGAAGCUGAAUAAUUUAAAUGUUCAGCAAUUCUGCUGCUGCCGCCCAGCCAUGGAUAACAGCAGGUACACAGCAAAGCAGAGAUGCUGUCAGGCCACUUCCUCCUGUUGGGAGAGAGCAGCAGUGAUGCAGGCAUAAAUAAGUGGGUAAGGAUGCUCUGCAGAGCUGGGAGAGAUGCUGCAGCUCAGAGCAGGCGGCCCUCAGAACAUCCCAGAGCUGAGGCUUGGCUUUCCUGUGCUGUUGGUGGCUCCUGGCGUGGUGAUUUGUGUUUUCACGUCACAGCAAGUCCCUGGGUGCCACUGGUGCUCAGCUUCCAAAGUGCUGGAACCAUCAGCCACGGGCCAAUGAGGGGUCAACACUGGCCCCUGCUCUUCACCUUUCCAUCUGAGGAGUUGUACAAUGUGAUGUGGUGGGAGGGAGACAAAGAUUUGCUGCACACAAAUAUCCCAGCCCCUGCUCUCCAGCUGCCUCUCCAUCUCCUUUGUUGUUGGAGGGACGACGGGGAAGCCAAAUCUCUCCAAAUCAGUCUAAAAACUGGCACACAGAACAAAUGAAAAGAAACCCAGUGGAAAAGAAACCCUCUGCAUGAAAGAAAAGAAACCCAGUGGAAAAGAAACCCUCUGCAAGGCUCAGCAGCUAUUAGGAAUCUCUUCCUGUCAUGGUCCUGAUCUAAGAAACCAUUUAGUGGUCAUUUAUCAGCUCAGAAGUAUUUAAUCUGAGAUUCCCAAAGGAAAUCCAGAAAUACAAAUUGAAUAGAUCUUCUUGAGGUUGUGUUCCUUGAACUGUGCACUGUUGCCUCCAAAGGCAUGGCUUUGGAGGGGAAGCAGACUGCUCUCCUGCUCCAAGAGACAGCAGCCUUGUACCAGCACAACCACAAUUUAAUUCUUGCAGAAUUAAAUUAUCUGAGAAUUAUCUCAGAAUUAUCUGAGCCCCAAACCAAGAGGUUUCAGCAGGUUUUUGCCCCUCCCUGCACUCAUACAGAGCAGAGUUUCAUAGCAUGUGCCUCUCUGGCAUCUUACCACCACUUAUCAAGUGUUCUUUUUGCUCAUCAUUUGAACAAGCCAGGCGACACAACUGAAAAUCUCAUCACACUGAUUUACCUUAUUUAUGCUUCUUCAGAAAGUCAGAUUCUCAGAGUGAAGCCGUGAAAGAGCUGCAAAGCUCCCAAAGGAAGGGAAUAUUCACGUCCCAUUGUUUAUGCUGCAGCUUAGUGCUGUGCUAUCCUGGCUGCAAAGAAGAUUUCUGCACAGAUAAAGGUGCUCAACAACCUCUGCAUCCAGCUCUCUUAUCCAGUGGGCCAGAACACAUCUCACCCACAGGAUUAGCACUCACUGUUUGACCCCUCUUAGAGACUAGGCAGUUCUGAGAGCAAAAAACAUCACCUAACUCAGCCUGAACCUGAAAAUUCCCAGGUCUGGGAACUCAGAAUUUGGCUUUACGCCCACAAUAUGGGCCAAGGGCAAAUCACUUCUUAAUUACUGCUCACGGUGCAGAUUUCAGCUUUCAUUCAGACAGGCACCAUCUGAAAGAUGUAACAAGACUCUUCCCAGGCUGCACUUAAUCCACCCCAGCUAUUGAUCCUGUUGAAUCCACUGCUCCUGCUGCGACUGCAAGUCUAUUGAUAACAGAGAGAGGCCUGAACGUUUUGCCUGUUUGGGAGCCUCAAAACCCAGAGAUUUCCAUCAUUUGGCUGCAGUGCAUGCCUGGAGGCAGCAGAGACUGACCUCCUGUGAGGAAAGAUGUCCCCACCUGGCAGGCAGAUGGGACAGGAAUCUGCUCUGCCCCCGAGCAUCAAGGCAGAGAGCAGAGCUCAGGUCUUGCCCCACAGUUUCAGUGUACCUUUAUUCUCAGCCAGCCAGUCUCUGAGUGUGGGAAUCCAUAAAAUCAGAGGGGUUUGGGAAAGCUGCAAAAGGCCUCAGAGAGAGCAGAACUGUGAUUAGAGCUGAGCAGCAGCCAUGAGAUUGGGCAGCAGAAAAAUUAUUUAAACUGUAGGAAAGCAAGGGCAAAUAGAACAAUGGUCUGUGUAUUAAUGCUUGUCUAGAAUAACUCCCUAAACUACAGAAAAGUUUAUCUAGAGAGAUAUUAGGCAGUUUUAAGCUUAAUAAUGGAGCUCUGUGCAUUGUGUUUGAAGGCUCACAAGCAGGGAUUGUAUUUGAAAUAAGCAAGCAUUGUUUAACCAAAGGUACCUGUGCUUAUAGUGGUUGGAUAGAACCACUGUCAAUAUAGAAUAUAUACUAUUCAGAUAUAAA